UUUUAUAAAGUUUCCAAAAAGAGACAAGUAUGAGAUUACAAAUAAAUUACUUUUUUGAAAACGUACGUUGGUGCACGAAAAAUAGCAGAACAAAUAAAAUUAUAAAAAUGUGGUCGUCGUGUGUCAAUUCUGGUGUCAUGGCUCUCCAUGCUCUCCACUCCAAGCUGUUUCUCAGAUGCUGAAGUCCAGAGCCAGCCAUCAUAACCACAAGAUCUACAAAUUUUGCUUGUGCUGCUAUUAUCAUGUCAUCAGCAGCAAUAUCAAUAUCAUCAGUGGUAGGGUAAUGAUUUUGGUUACGUUAACUAACAUUUAACCUGCUAGAAUAGUUUUAACGAUACAUGACUUGCAUACAUGCAGUGUAUCAAAACUGUACCUUAAAUUCUCCUGCUUAUUAACAAUUAGGGAUUACCUACUGUCUAAUUUUCAACUUUCCUUUACUUGUUGUUUCUGCAAAUAUUUUACGUAACCCAUUUCUGAUUUUUGAUUUAGAUAAACAGCAUCCCCUUUGGUUGUCGAGAAACUACCGAUGUCGCUCGAGAAAAGGAUCUCUUCUUCUCCUUUCUUCAAAUGUCCUCGUGUACCCCCAUGUGAGUGUGGGGGUAUUCACGAGGACAGACUUUUCCCAAUCCCGACUGGUGGAUUCAAUGUAACUGCGGAUGGAGCACUUGUGGAUGCCUGGCUGUGGAUUUCCCAGGCUUAAAGGUAGGAAACACUCAUCUCUAUUCUUCUUUAUUUGACUAUUUAGUGGCGUUAAUUAGAAAUCGUUAGAUAGUACGGAGUACGAUUAUUCCUGAGCUAUACCGUUGACAGUCUGAACUGUUUUCUUUCUCCGUUUUCGUUUACUUAGUUAGAGUUCAUUCAAUAACUCAGUAAAGAACGACUGCAGAUCAGGCCUGUUUUUAUACCUCACAACUUUUCUGAGGGUAAACAAUCAAAUUUGAAAAUAUUUGAACUUCAAGCAAAGUACAAGGUCUAGAAAAAUUGUAAGAGGGACCUGCCGUCACUCCGGCACAUCUUCGUACCUUUACGUUUCCACCUUCACUAGAAGUAAACAGACGAUCGUUUUGAAUGUCAAUAAACUCGAUGUCGCACUUUGGCCGCUCUGAAUUGGCCAACGAUUUCACAAUUUCCAGUGGCAUUUUUCUUGUCACUAAUCUCCUGUAGAGCAAAUUAAAAGAAUUAUAAGAAGUUAGCCGAUGGCUUCUGAUUUGUUUCUCGCAGCUCUGCGCAGUGUUGACUCGCGUUUGCCGUGAAAAAUCUCGGAUCCUUUUUAUAUGUUACGUGACUGGUCAGAUUUUGGCUCCUUUCUCUCGGUGCUAAAUUUGGCCGGCAAGCGCUACUCUAGAAAGAACACAAACUAAAAAUAAUCCUCGCUUCCGUUCUCGAAGCUUCGGCGAUUUUCCAGCAAUGUCGUCAUACUCACGUAUUCACAAUCUUGACUGCUCUUUCAAUAUUUUAAAUUUAUCCGGGCGCGACCGUUCCCUGUCACCUCACUAGCUGGAUCACGUACUGUCGAUUUAAUUGCAAUAAAUUUUUUUUUAAAUCAACAACUUUCUCCGAUCCUGAUACCACUAGUUCAUAGAUAUUUUUAUGACCGUUUGGCCAGGAAAGCAAUGCUAAUAAAUCCCAAACACGUCACAACAGCAACUCGCUAAAGAGAGAAAAAAUGAUGUCAAACAAAAUUCGUUUUCUUUUUAUCGUAUUUGAAUUGGCGCGCUUCGAUCCGUUGGCCACGGUAAAAUCAUUUCUCGGUUGAUUAUAUUUUUCUCUCUUGUUACACUUUUUUGCUUUCCUUAUUUUAUUUAUAUAAGAAAGAGAUGCAAAUGUGGAACUUGUCAGUUUGAACGACCAUUGAGACACGGGAGAAAUGACCAUCAAUUUUAUCAGGUGAUAAAAUAAAAUGAAAGCGAAAAAAUCUUUUUAUAUAGCGAUCGGCUUUUGUUUUGUUUUCUGUUUAUCUGUAUUUCAUCAGGUGAUUUGAAAUGUACUUUUUUUUUCGAGAAGACAAAAAAAAAAGGAUAUUUGAUGACAAUCACGAGCGAAAUCUCGCGUGUGAUAUGACGGG
rnacentral:lncRNA from 1 species